rnacentral:misc_RNA from 1 species
GCAAACUUGGUCAUUUAGAGGAAGUAAAAGUCGUAACAAGGUUUCCGUAGGUGAACCUGCGGAAGGAUCAUUACCAGGAUUCGGGUCGGUAUUCGUACCUCCCGUCUUCCCACCCCAUGUUUACUCACCGUGUUGCCUCGGCGGGACUGCGGCUCGGCCCGCUACCGGCUCCGGCUGGUCAGCGCCCGCCAGAGGACCUUCAAACUCUAUUUUGACGUGUCGUCUGAGAACAAAUUCAAUAAAUCAAAACUUUCAACAACGGAUCUCUUGGUUCUGGCAUCGAUGAAGAACGCAGC